rnacentral:rRNA from 1 species
GUGGGGAAUAUUGGACAAUGGGCGAAAGCCUGAUCCAGCCAUGCCGCGUGUGUGAAGAAGGUCUUCGGAUUGUAAAGCACUUUAAGUUGGGAGGAAGGGCAGUAAGUUAAUACCUUGCUGUUUUGACGUUACCGACAGAAUAAGCACCGGCUAACUUCGUGCCAGCAGCCGCGGUAAUACGAAGGGUGCAAGCGUUAAUCGGAAUUACUGGGCGUAAAGCGCGCGUAGGUGGUUUUGUAAGUUGGAGGUGAAAUCCCCGGGCUCAACCUGGGAACUGCAUCCAAAACUGCAUGACUAGAGUACGGUAGAGGGUAGUGGAAUUUCCUGUGUAGCGGUGAAAUGCGUAGAUAUAGGAAGGAACACCAGUGGCGAAGGCGACUACCUGGACUGAUACUGACACUGAGGUGCGAAAGCGUGGGGAGCAAACAGGAUUAGAAACCCUGGUAGUCC